AUGUGGGGUAGGGGAGCGUUCUGUAAGCCGUUGAAGGUGGUCUGUAAGGGCUGCUGGAGGUAUCAGAAGUGCGAAUGCUGACAUGAGUAACGAUAAAGGGAGUGAAAAACUCCCUCGCCGGAAGACCAAGGGUUCCUGUCCAACGUUAAUCGGGGCAGGGUAAGUCGACUCCUAAGGCGAGGCCGAAAGGCGUAGUCGAUGGGAAACGGGUUAAUAUUCCCGUACUUCUUACAAUUGCGAUGGGGGGACGGAGAAGGCUAGGUGGGCCUGGCGACGGUUGUCCAGGUUCAAGUAUGUAGGCGG
rnacentral:rRNA from 1 species